rnacentral:misc_RNA from 1 species
ACAAACUUGGUCAUUUAGAGGAAGUAAAAGUCGUAACAAGGUCUCCGUAGGUGAACCUGCGGAGGGAUCAUUACUGAAUGGCCUCCGGGCCUUCACAAACCUCAUCAAACCUGUGGACCUCUCAGAGAGAGCGUGCUUCGGCGUCCCCUCGGCUCAGCCUGAGGGACGCCGCCUUCAUGCAGAUAGAUCGUCUUGUCUGAUUUUGAAACCAUGAGAAUUUAAAACUUUCAACAACGGAUCUCUUGGUUCUGGCAUCGAUGAAGAACGCAGC